rnacentral:misc_RNA from 1 species
GAUGAAGAACGCAGCGAAAUGCGAUAAGUAAUGCGAAUUGCAGAAUCCGUGAGUCAUCGAAUCUUUGAACGCACAUUGCGCCCUUUGGUAUUCCGAAGGGCAUGCCUGUUCGAGCGUCAUUAUCACCCCUCAAGCCCCGGCUUGGUGUUGGGCUCUCGGUGGUCGUCUCCGACCACCCGUCUCAAAGAUAGUGACGGCGUCCCAGAGGGAACCGGUACGAGGAGCUUUCACGAGCAUGUACGCGGGACGACUCUGCGGGCGACGGUCUUAUUUACUUUAUAUACAAGUGUUGACCUCGGAUCAGGUAGGAAUACCCGCUGAACUUAAGCAUAUCAAUAAGCGGAGG